GUCUAUGGCCAUACCACCCUGAACACACCUGAUCUCGUCUGAUCUCAGAAGCUAAGCAGGGUUGGGCCUGUUUAGUACUUGGAUGGGAGACCGCCUAGGAAUACCAGGUGCUGUAGGCU
ensembl:rRNA 5S_rRNA 5S ribosomal RNA